GACGAACGCUGGCGGCAUGCUUAACACAUGCAAGUCGAACGGAAAGGCCCUGCUUUGUGGGGGAGCUCUAGGUACGAACGGGUAACUAACACGUAGGUAACCUGCCCUUGACUGUGGGAUAACUUCAUACAAGUUGAGCUAAUAGCGCAUAGGAGCUCCUGCUUCAGGAUGGGGGUUGGAAAGUUUCGGGGGUUGGUGAUGUACUCGCGGCUCAUCAGCUUGUUGGUGAGGUAGUGGCUUACCAAGGCUUGGACGGGUAGCCGGCCUGAGAGGGUGACCGGCCACAUUGGGACGGAGAUACGGCCCAGACUCCUACGGGAGGCAGGAGUGGAGAGUAUAAUAUAAUGGGCGGGAGGCUGAUGUAGCCACGCAGCGUGGGGUAUGACAGGCUUGGGGUUGUAAAGCGCUUCCGCCUGUGACGAAGCGUGAGUGACGGUAAUGGGUAAAGAAGCACCGGCUAACUACGUG
rnacentral:rRNA from 1 species